CACGAUUUGGUAUUACGAUUUGC
rnacentral:siRNA from 1 species